rnacentral:lncRNA from 1 species
CUGCAGGCGGCGGGCGGCGCGGAGGCCUGAUAGGAGACUCGGCGUCCCGCCCAGCUGCAGCGGCCCCUGCCGGAGACGCAGACCCCCACCCGGCUCCAGUCCCAAGGCUCUAGCUCCUCUGCCCUGUCCUGUUCACUGCUGGACGAUUGUUUCUUUUUUCUUUUCUUUUUUUUAAACUCUUUUUUAGAGAACGACGGGUUGCGGGCGGGCGUGUUUGCUUGCUUCCUCUUUCUGACCUCCCAAGGUUCACUCCUGCCCAGAUCACCAGGUAGACAUCGAGUUCCAGGGAUGUGCUUGUUGUGCCAGGAAGGUCUGUUGUGUGUGUAGUGUUCCAUCAUGCUUGCCUAACUCCAUAUCUGAAGGUCUGUUUUAUCCCUCUCCUCUGCUUUUGUAUUUCUGCUUGCCAACUUCCCUCUGACAUCUCCUAUAAAAGGACCUCAGGCUCUGAGCCUCUCACGGAGCUUGGAGAGUGCCAUCUGGCCAGACUAAUAAAGGUCUGUUUUACAGCUUGUCCGGUGUGUUCCCUCCCGGGUGAUCUUCGCUGUAGUUAGCUCCUCGGAGCGUUUGGUGAGGCCCACGGUCUUACACAGCCCACUACAUACACCAGCUCUCAACAUGUGUCCU